CCUGGCGGCCGUAGCGCGGUGGUCCCACCUGACCCCAUGCCGAACUCAGAAGUGAAACGCCGUAGCGCCGAUGGUAGUGUGGACGGA
rnacentral:rRNA from 1 species